rnacentral:tRNA from 1 species
UGAGCUAUGGUGUAACGGUAACACAUCUCCCUUUGGAGGAGGCGCUUCCGGUUCGACUCCGGGUAGCUCAA